GAUGAACGCUGGCGGCGUGCCUAAUACAUGCAAGUCGAGCGAACGGACGAGUAGCUUGCUUCUCUGAUGUUAGCGGCGGAUGGGUGAGUAACACGUGGAUAACCUACCUAUAAGACUGGGAUAAUUUCGGGAAACCGGAGCUAAUACCGGAUCAUAUUUUGAACCGCAUGGUUAAAAAGUGAAAGACGGUCUUGCUGUCACUUAUCGAUGGAUCCGCGCUGCAUUAGCUAGUUGGUAAGGUAACGGCUUACCAAGGCAACGAUGCAUAGCCGACCUGAGAGAGUGGUCGGCCACACGGGAGCUGAGACACGGUCCAGACUCCUACGGGAGGCAGCAGUAGGGAAUCUGCCGCAAUGGGCGAAAGCCUGACGGAGCAACGCCGCGUGAGUGAUGAAGGUCUUCGGAUCGUAAAACUCUGUUAUUAGGGAAGAACAUAUGUGUAAGUAACUGUGCACAUCUUGACGGUACCUAAUCAGAAAGCCACGGCUAACUACGUG
rnacentral:rRNA from 1 species